rnacentral:rRNA from 1 species
AUUGAACGCUAGCGGGAUGCUUAACACAUGCAAGUCGAACGAGUGGCGGACGGGUGAGUAAUAUAUCGGACCGUGCCCAGUAGCGGGGGAUAACUACUCGAAAGAGUGGCUAAUACCGCAAACUAUCGGAGCGGCCGAUAUCGGAUUAGCUAGUUGGUGGGGUAAAGGCUCACCAAGGCAACGCUCACUAGCUGGUUUGAGAGGACGACCAGCCACACUGGGACUGAGACACGGCCCAGACUCCUACGGGAGGCAGCAGUGGGGAAUUUUGGACAAUGGGGGAAACCCUGAUGCGUCCAUCCCGCGUGUAUGAGAAGGCCUUCGGGUUGUAAAGUACUUUCAGUCGGGAGGCGUUACCGACAGAAGAAGCACCGGCUAACUCCGUGCCAGCAGCCGCGGUAAUAC